CCUACGGGGGGCAGCAGUGGGGAAUCUUGCACAAUGGGCGAAAGCCUGAUGCAGCAAUGCCGCGUGAUCUAUUAAUUCCUUCUUUUCUUAAAUCUCUUUCCUCAAUUAAUAUAAUUACUUUACUUGAGGAGGACGCCCCGGCUAACUACGUCCCAGCCGCCGCGGUCCUCCGUCGGGGGCUCGCGUUCUCCUUAAUUACUGGUCGUAAAGGGUGCGUAGGUGGUUUCUUAAGUCAUAGUUGAAAGGCUACGGCUCAACCUUAGUAAGCCUUUGAAACUGGGGACCUUGAGUGCAGGAGAGGAGAGUGGAAUUCCUAGUGUAGCGGUGAAAUGCGUAGAUAUUAGGAGGAACACCAGGGGCGAAGGCGGCUCUCUGGACUGUAACUGACACGGAGGCACGAAAGCGUGGGGAGCAAACAGGAUGAGAGACCCCGGUAGUC
rnacentral:rRNA from 1 species